AUGAUGCAACCUUCACAGAGAAAGUACCUGAGAGCCUUUUGUGCUUCUGUGGAUUUACUUGCAAUGGAUCUCUUAUGCAAAAUACCUUUCCCUUCUCUGCCAGCUCCUCCAGGCAAUCAGGAAGAUACAGGCUUUUACUCAACAUGCUAACCAUGGCACGACCUGAUUUCUGAUGGCUAUCAACAUAACUUCGUUCCCUUUUGCUUUUCUACUUGGUCCUCUUCACCAGCUGACCUCAUCAAUUUAUCCAACAACACAUGCUGAGGACCUACUAAGCACGGGGUCUGUGGACAUAAAAUGGAAUUGGACAUGAAAUACACCCUGCAGAGCAGAUGGACACAUAAGCAACAUGGCAAUGAGAAGUGACAAGCACACUACUACAACCCAGCUGGCACAGAUGGUGGAGAUUUGAUAGGCUUGGUGAGCAUGGGAUGAGAAAGGGUGUCAAGAGGUGACCUUGGGAUGGCUUUCGAAAAAUAAAUAGGAACAUGUCAGGCAGACAAGGGGGUAUUGCUGGCACUUGGAAGUGAAUGUGUCAUUCCAGGUGUGAAGAGGAAGGGCAGUGAUCAUUUUCUUCUGCCUCUAUAAUUGCAGCCUAUGAUCAUAUUAGUCUUUUUGGCAGCCACAACACCCAGCUGGCUCACUGAGAGCUAAAACCUACUAUCCUUCUUGUGUUGUUUUGCCACAUCAGCCCCCAUCAUCCAUGUCCAUGAGCCAUUAUUCUUUAUCAGGGAAAAUAAAAGGAAGCCUUCAGCUCCA